ACUAAGCAGGGCUGGUGAGCAGAGCCAGCCUGCCCUUUGCCGAGGGAUUUGGAUGAGGCCAGCGUGGAGCUGGUGUCCCUGGAGUGCCACUUGCCCUGUGUGUGGAGUCUGUCUCCAGAGCAGAGCUGCUCCAGCCCUUGGAUCAUCUUUGUGGCCUCCUCUGGACUCUCUCCAAGAGCUCCGUGUCCUUACAUUAUGUGCUCCAGACCUGGACACAGUGCUGCAGCACCAGGAGACCUGGACACUUACUGGUCAGGCACAGCACCCAUCUGCUUGGGGGGCUGCAAGGGGAGGCACAAGGAGCUGAAGAGGAGCCAGUGCGGGAAUGGCAGCUGCUGCUG